rnacentral:rRNA from 1 species
GACGAACGCUGGCGGCGUGCUUAACACAUGCAAGUCGAACGAUGAAGCCGGAGCUUGCUCCGGUGGAUUAGUGGCGAACGGGUGAGUAACACGUGAGCAAUCUGCCCUUGACUCUGGGAUAACUGCGGGAAACUGUAGCUAAUACCGGAUACGACACAUUGGGGCAUCCCAGGGUGUGGAAAGAAUUUCGGUCAAGGAUUAGCUCGCGGCCUAUCAGCUAGGUGGUGAGGUAAUGACUCACCAAGGCGACGACGGGUAGCCGGCCUGAGAGGGUGACCGGCCACACUGGAACUGAGACACGGUCCAGACUCCUACGGGAGGCAGCAGUGGGGAAUAUUGCACAAUGGGCGAAAGCCUGAUGCAGCAACGCCGCGUGAGGGAUGAAGGCCUUCGGGUUGUAAACCUCUUUUAGCAGGGAAGAAGCGAAAGUGACGGUACCUGCAGAAAAAGCACCGGCUAACUACGUGCCAGCCGCCGCGGUAA